rnacentral:rRNA from 1 species
UAAUACGUAGGGCGCAAGCGUUGUCCGGAAUUAUUGGGCGUAAAGAGCUCGUAAGCGGAUUGUCACGUCGGAUGUGAAAGCCCGAGGCUUAACCUCGGGUCUGCAUUCGAUACGGGCUAGCUAGAGUGUGGUAGGGGAGAUCGGAAUUCCUGGUGUAGCGGUGAAAUGCGCAGAUAUCAGGAGGAACACCGGUGGCGAAGGCGGAUCUCUGGGCCAUUACUGACGCUGAGGAGCGAAAGCGUGGGGAGCGAACAGGAUUAGAUACCCUGGUAGUCCACGCCGUAAACGUUGGGAACUAGGUGUUGGCGACAUUCCACGUCGUCGGUGCCGCAGCUAACGCAUUAAGUUCCCCGCCUGGGGAGUACGGCCGCAAGGCU